UGGGGAAUAUUGCACAAUGGGGGAAACCCUGAUGCAGCGACGCCGCGUGAGCGAAGAAGGUUUUCGAAUCGUAAAGCUCUGUCCUAUGAGAAGAUAAUGACGGUAUCAUAGGAGGAAGCCCCGGCUAAAUACGUGCCAGCAGCCGCGGUAAUACGUAUGGGGCGAGCGUUGUCCGGAAUUAUUGGGCGUAAAGGGAACGUAGGCGGUCUAUUAAGUCAGGUGUGAAAGCGUGAGGCUUAACCUCAUUAAGCACUUGAAACUGAUAGACUUGAGUGAAGGAGAGGAAAGUGGAAUUCCUAGUGUAGCGGUGAAAUGCGUAGAUAUUAGUAGGAAUACCGGUGGCGAAGGCGACUUUCUGGACUUUUACUGACGCUCAGGUACGAAAGCGUGGGGAGCAAACAGG
rnacentral:rRNA from 1 species